rnacentral:lncRNA from 1 species
GGGUGGGGGAGGACCGGGAAGGAGAGGGCGCCCUGCUCUGCCCUUGGGCUGCGCCUCUGUGAGCCAGAGCACGGGAGAGGCAGGAAUUCCCUCUCCUGCCACCACCAUAAAAUGCGGGAAUGUUUCUGGAUGGCUGCGAGGAGUCCUGCCUGGCCCUCAGGAGUCACCCUUUGUACGGCCCCCCGGCUCAUCACGCUCCCCGCCGGCGCGGGCAGCCCCGACGCACGGGAAUGCCCCUGCGGGGCCGCGCAGCUCCUUAAGUAGCAGCGUGCGGCAGCGGCCCCGGCCCGCGUUCUGCUGUCUUCCCGGGACUCCUGCGGCGGGCGUGACGCCAGCCAUGCCGAAGGCAGCCCCGCUCCUCCUAGCCUUGCUGGCCCCGCUGCUGGCCUUCCCCACCAGAGCACCAGAUUUCACCAGAUCUUAUACAGAGAAAGCAGCAGCAAAGAUAGUUGAUGUCAGCUCUUCUGUGAAAGAAACGACUACAGAAAAGAGGGCUUUCCUGGGUAUCACUGCCUUUAUCAAUGAAGACUUCACCAUAAAGACAACACGUGGAAUGAGCAUCAGUGGAAGCAGAGGCAGGAGUGAAUACAGUGAGCCCAGCAUCAUCUCCACAGAGCAAUAUAUGUUCAACAGAACACCCUUAUUGUCUUUUGUAAAAUGGGUUUCAGUUCACUUCCAAAAGGAAAACAUUAACAUCCAUAAAUCUCAAGCUGAGGAACAGCGCUUUGCCGCACACGGCCACACUGACUAAUUGGAGUCAGAAGCAGGGUCUGGUUCUUCAGAGCUUCAGCUCAGACAUCUGCUUGGGGAGCCAGAGCAAAGCCUGCACAGCACGAAACUGCACACUGCGGGAGGGCUGCACAGCUAUUUACUGACAGCAGCUCAGAGGUACAUGGGAGAGUACAGAUGGGAGAGUCUCCUGACCACAGACACUGGUGAAAGGGCCACCAUGACCUGGAGGAGGUGCCACAGCAAGAACAUCCCACUCAGCGCUCCUGGCCGAAUGCGCUGCCAUGUGUGCAGGAGCGAUGCACACAGCACACACACCAAGAGCUGCAGCACGCUUGGUGCCACCUCCCUGGGGCACCUACCGAUAAUUUUUCAGUUGAACUCCUGCAAGUCUCUACUGAGCACGUGCUAAAGACAUUUCUUCACAGCCUCAUUACUUAGUGGAAUUUGCUUUUGUAGAGUUUUUUUUUUUUUUUUUUUUUUUGGGGGGGGGGGGAUUUCUCUUCUCCCCCCAAGCAGGAACUAUAAAACACACACCUCUAUCACUGCUACACUUCAGCUUUCUGUUCAAAGGCACAGAGUCACUGAAAUUUAUAAGACUAAGUCCUAAAACAAAUUCAAAUGAGGGAAAACAAAGUAUUUUCCCCUCAUUUUCAGAACAUAUCUCAGUAUCUUCUGCUCAACUUUUCAAACAAAAAGUACAAAUUUUAGCCCAAACUAUCACAGUUUGGCCGGGUUAUAAGCAACUUAAAAUCUACAUGUUAGACUGGUAUUUGCACUACCUGCAAUGUUAGAAGAAAGUUGCUGAUGUACUAUGCACCAAUUAAUUGAGAGGCCUGAACGUAAUCUUUAGAAAUAGCUAAGAUACCUUUUUGUAAAAAUAAUGCAUUUUCUGCAAACUGUGUUCACUCUUCACUCCUCUAAACUUUACAAAAUAGUUAUUUACAACUUAGCUGAUAUAGCUGAUAUAGGAAGUGUUUGGAAAAUGUAGGGAUGUGGAAAUUAGUCUCCACAAACAAGAAGUAUAACUUUUAUUACCCAAGCUGGCAGAUUAAUUUAUUCCAAUAUAAUUUUUGAAAAGAGAUGGAAUAUUGAAGAAAAGGAAAUGUGUUAUCAAUUGUCAACAAGGGAAGGAAAAUGAGAUGGGAAAUGACCACCUUAUGUUGGUGCAAGGCAGGGGUGGGAGGGCACCACCUCAGGCAGGGAUGGAUACACAAAUACAAUGCACACAGGGAUCGUUAGAAGGCAUUUAUUACCUCUGUGUCUAUGCGGGGGUUCCCCAGUGUUAUCCCGAUCGAGGCAAUAAGAAGACAGGAGAAUCCCUGGCACCGCUGAGCGUAGGUCCAUGGCGAGGAACCUGGGCAGGGGGAACUAAUAGGUUUUUAUGCAACAGGCACAUGCGCAAUAAGCAGAAUUACAUUAUGAUCGUGAAAUGGUUGUUUGAUAAUAUAGCCACUAAAGCAUGCCAAGCUUGGGGUUGUAACAGAUAAGAUGUGCAGGACAGUUUACACUGUUUCUUUUCCCUCCUGGGACAGUCUGGCUAGUUCCCAUCGCCUAUCUCCUUGACAUUCUUCCGCAUUACUCUAUACACCUUAUAAUCCUUGUAUUUUUCAUUAUUAAAAUAACUGAAAAAAUGUUGAGGAAAAUAUUGCCAAAUUUCUACAAAAGAAUGAAAUAAAGUAUAGUACAUUCCCCA